GACAGCAGUAGCCGCGGUAAUACAGAGGGUGCGAGCGUUAAUCGGAUUUACUGGGCGUAAAGCGUGCGUAGGCGGCUUUUUAAGUCGGAUGUGAAAUCCCUGAGCUUAACUUAGGAAUUGCAUUCGAUACUGGGAAGCUAGAGUAUGGGAGAGGAUGGUAGAAUUCCAGGUGUAGCGGUGAAAUGCGUAGAGAUCUGGAGGAAUACCGAUGGCGAAGGCAGCCAUCUGGCCUAAUACUGACGCUGAGGUACGAAAGCAUGGGGAGCAAACAGGAUUAGAUACCCCGGUAGUCCCUGUCUCUUAUAC
rnacentral:rRNA from 1 species